rnacentral:rRNA from 1 species
AGAGUUUGAUCCUGGCUCAGAAUGAACGCUGGCGGCGUGCUUAACACAUGCAAGUCGUACGAGAACUCUUUAGCUUGCUAAAGAUAGUAAAGUGGCGCACGGGUGAGCAACGCGUGGGUAAUCUACCUCCGAAUCAGGAAUAACCAGCCGAAAGGCUAGCUAAUACCGGAUAAUAUCUAUAGAACUUCGGUUUUAAAGAUCAAAGGUGGUCUCUACAUGUAAGCUACUGUUUGGAGAUGAGCCCGCGUACCAUUAGCUUGUUGGUAGGGUAAUGGCCUACCAAGGCUUCGAUGGUUAGCUGGUCUGAGAGGAUGAUCAGCCACACUGGAACUGACACACGGUCCAGACUCCUACGGGAGGCAGCAGUGAGGAAUUUUGCGCAAUGGGGGAAACCCUGACGCAGCAACGCCGCGUGAGUGAUGAAGGCUUUCGGGUCGUAAAACUCUGUCAAGUGGGAAGAACAUG